UAAGCGGGUAGUGAAAUCUUGUGGCUCAACCACAAGGCUAUUACCUGAACUGACAAGCUUGAGUAUGGUAGAGGUCACUGGAAUUCCAAGUGUAGGAGUGAAAUCCGUAGAUAUUUGGAGGAACACCGAUGGCGUAGGCAGGUGACUGGACCACAACUGACACUAAGGCACGAAAGCGUGGUAGCAAGCGGAUUAGAUACCCGGUAGUCCACGCCUAAACGAUGGAUGCUA
rnacentral:rRNA from 1 species